ensembl:lncRNA
UACUUCUACGGGACUAUUAUACCCAUACUAAUCUCUACUACUUCUACAAUAAUACUUUCUACUACUACUUCUACUACUUCUCUACCACUACUACUACUACUACUACUUCUACAACUUCUACUACUACAGCUAAUACUACUACUACUUCUACUUCUACUACUACUACUUCUACUACUUCUGCUUCUACCACUACUACUUCUACUUCUACCACUACUACUUCUACUUCUACCACUACUACUUCUACUUCUACCACUACUUCUACAGCUAAUACUACUACUUCUACUACUACUUCUACCACUACUUCUACUACUUCUACUACUUCUACAGCUAAUACUACUUCUACUACUUCUACCACUACUACUACUACUACUACUUCUACAGCUAAUACUACUUCUACUACUACUUCUAACUUCUACUACUUCUACUAUUUCUACUUCUACUACUUCUACCACUACUACUACUUCUACUUCUACAGCUAAUACUACUUCUACCACUACUACUACUACUUCUACUACUUCUACUACUACAGCUAAUACUACUUCUACUACUACUUCUACUACUUGUACUACUACUUCUACCACUUCUACUUCUACUACUUCUACCACUACUACUUCUACUUCUACAGCUAAUACUACUUCUACUACUUCUACCACUACUACUUCUACUUCUACUACUUCUACCACUACUACUUCUACAGCUAAUACUACUUCUACUACUUCUACUACCACUACUACUUCUACCACUACUUCUACCACUACUUCUACAGCUAAUACUACUUCUACUACUACUACUACUACUUCUACAGCUAAUACUACUUCUACUACUACUACUACUACUUCUACCACUACUUCUACCACUACUUCUACUUCUACCACUACUUCUACUUCUACUAUUUCUACAGCUACGACUACUACUUCUACUUCUACUACUUCUACCACUACUUCUACUUCUACCACUACUUCUACUUCUACAGCUAAUACUACUUCUACUACUUCUACUACCACUACUACUACUUCUACCACUACUUCUACAACUUCUACUACUACAGCUAAUACUACUUCUACUUCUACAGCUAAUACUACUACUUCUACCACUACUACUACUUCUACAGCUAAUACUACUUCUACUACUUCUACUACCACUACUACUACUACUACUUCGACCACUACUUCUACCACUACUUCUACUACUACUACUACUACUACUACUUCUACUACUGCUACAGCUAAUACUACUUCUACUACUACUUCUACUACUACUACUACUUCUACUUCUACCACUACUUCUACUUUUACCACUACUUCUACUAUUUCUACUUCUACUACUUCUACAGCUACUACUACUACUUCUACCACUACUUCUACGUCUACCACUACUUCUACCACUACUUCUACUUCUACAGCUAAUACUACUUCUACUACUUCUACUACCACUACUACUACUUCUACCACUACUACUACUUCUACAACUUCUACUUCUACUACUACAGCUAAUACUACUACUACUUCUACUUCUACCACUACUACUUCUACCACUACUACUUCUACUUCUACCACUACUACUUCUACUUCUACCACUACUACUUCUACUACAGCUAAUACUACUACUACUUCUACAGCUACUACUACUACUUCUACCACUACUUCUACGUCUACCACUACUUCUACCACUACUUCUACUUCUACUUCUACAGCUAAUACUACUUCUACUACUUCUACCACUACUUCUACCACUACCACUACUUCUACUACUUCUACAGCUACUACUACUACUACUACUUCUACCACUACUUCUACUACUUCUACCACUACUUCUACUUCUACAGCUAAUACUACUUCUACUACUUCUACUACCACUACUUCUACCACUACUACUUCUACAACUUCUACUACUACAGCUAAUACUACUUCUACUACUACUUCUACUUCUACUACUUCUACAGCUAAUACUACUACUUCUACCACUACUACUACUUCUACAGCUAAUACUACUUCUACUACUUCUACUACCACUACUACUCCUACCACUACUUCUACCACUACUUCUACAGCUAAUACUACUUCUACUACUUCUACUACUACUACUACUACUACUACUUCUACUUCUACAGCUAAUACUACUUCUACAGCUAAUACUACUUCUACUACUACUACUACUACUACUACUACUAUUACUUCUACUUCUACUACUUCUACAGCUAAUACUACUACUACUUCUACUUCUACUACUUCUACAGCUAAUACUACUUCUACCACUACUUCUACAGCUAAUACUACUUCUACUACUUCUACCACUACUUCUACUUCUACUAUUUCUACUUCUACUACUUCUACAGCUACUACUACUUCUACCACUACUUCUACUUCUACAGCUAAUACUACUUCUACUACUUCUCUACCACUACUACUACUUCUACUUCUACCACUACUACUACUUCUACAACUUCUACUUCUACUACUACAGCUAAUACUACUACUACUUCUACUACUACUACUUCUACUACUUCUACCACUACUACUUCUGCUUCUACCACUACCACUACUACUUCUACUUCUACUUCUACCACUACUACUUCUACCACUACUACUACUUCUACAGCUAAUACUACUACUACUUCUACUUCUACUACUUCUACAGCUAAUACUACUUCUACCACUACUUCUACAGCUAAUACUACUUCUACUACUACUACUUCUACUUCUACUACUUCUACUACUUCUACAGCUAAUACUACUACUACUACUUCUACCACUACUUCUACAGCUAAUACUACUUCUACUACUUCUACCACUACUUCUACUUCUACCACUACUUCUACUAUUUCUACUUCUACUACUUCUACAGCUACUACUACUUCUACUACUUCUACCACUACUACUACUUCUACAACUUCUACUUCUACUACUACAGCUAAUACUACUACUACUUCUACUACUACUACUUCUACUACUUCUACCACUACUACUUCUGCUUCUACCACUACCACUACUACUUCUACUUCUACUUCUACCACUACUACUUCUACUUCUACUACUUCUACCACUACUACUACUACUUCUACUACUACUUCUACUUCUACAGCUAAUACUACUACUUCUACUACUACUACUUCUACCACUACUUCUACUACUUCUACAGCUAAUACUACUUCUACUACUUCUACCACUACUACUACUACUUCUACAGCUAAUACUACUUCUACUACUACUUCUACUACUACUACUUCUACCACUACUUCUACUUCUACUACUACUUCUACUUCUUCUACUUCUACUACUUCUACCACUACUUCUACUUCUACUACUACUUCUACUUCUACUAUUUCUACUUCUACUACUUCUACCACUACUUCUACUACUACUUCUACAGCUAAUACUACUUCUACCACUACUACUACUACUUCUACUACUUCUACUUCUACUACUACAGCUAAUACUACUUCUACUUCUACUACUUUUACUACUACUUCUACCACUACUACUUCUACUUCUACCACUACUACUUCUACUACUUCUACUACUACUACUUCUACAGCUAAUACUACUACUUCUUCUACUACUACUUCUACUACUACUUCUACCACUACUACUUCUACAGCUAAUACUAAUACUUCUACUUCUACCACUACUUCUACUACUACUUCUACUUCUACAGCUAAUGCUAAUACUACUACUACAAAUAGCUCUAAUACUACUUCUAACACUACUAAUGCUACUACUACUAGAAAUAGCACUACUACUACUACUGCUUCUACAGCCAAUACUCCUACUACAACUACUAAUACUUCUUCUACCACUACUAACACUAAUGCUACUACUACUACUCCUAAUACUAAUACCACAACUACUACUAUUAUUAAUACUACUAGUGAGUAUGACGCUGUAUUAACUUUAGUUCUCCUGUGUGUCCAGUGGAGGCGCUGUACAGCUACGAAGCCUCCAAACCCGACGACCUGUCGCUCGCCGAGGGCGACAUCAUCUACCUGACACAUCACCAUGACGACGGCUGGUGCGAGGGGUUUCUCAACGGCAGCAGGGGCUUCUUCCCCAAAAACUACGUCCAAUCAUGUGGCUAGACUGAAGCCCCGCCCCCCUGUGACCAUGGAGACCGAUCAGAGUUAAUUAAUUAAUGAUAAUCCCAGUUUCAUCAUGUAAAAGCUUUUAUACCAUAGAAAUAGAAAAACACUUUUUAAAUCGGUAUUUUAUGGGAAACAUGAACGUUUAUUCAUCAUACAGCAACAAGUAUUAGUAUAGAGUUUAUUAAUAAUACUAAAUGUCAGUUACGCCACUUUAAACCUCAUUAGAACUGGAAAUACAUAAUUUAACUACAAAACAUUGUUUUCUGCGAAGCCUCUAAAGGCCAUUUAUAAUUAUUUCUGACAAAACAACAAAGCUGCAGAUUAUUUGAUAUAAUCUUUAACUCACUAUGGAUUUGAAUAUAAAUCACUUUUAUUAUAGAUUAAUUUGCUGAUUACUUUAAUGAUGAAUCAAUUCAUCAUUUUUUUUUCAUAAAAUGUCAGAAAAUAUGCAUUUUUCACAAUAAAAUAUUUCACUUUAAUGGAACAAAAUAUAAUUUGAAAAACGCAGCUCAUUAAAUUAACUAACAAAGUCAAACAAAUAUAAUUUUAUAUAUUAAAUCUCUAAUAUAUUUCAAGGAGACAUCAUUAUAUCUAAAGUUUAACAAACUGAUUUCAUGUCUGUAAAUAUUAAAUGUAGAGUUUUUAUUUUUCUGUGAAGAACUUGAUCUGUGGUUAGUUUUAGCGCCUCUGCACGAUAAUAAUCUGGAAUCUUUUAUAAUCAAUAUAUUCAUGCUCGCAGUAUUUAUGGUCACUUUAGCGUUAUUACGUGUGAUUAUCAUGUUUCCUGGUUUAAUGUUUUUAUUCUGAUUCAUUAAAUUACUUUUAAUCACACAAUAAAACAAAACGCGUUUCGUCUCAUUGAAGUGAAGAUAUCAUUAUUAUUUUUACAGAGCAUUAAAUCAGUAGAAUUUUUAAUAGUCUGGUGAGAAGAAUUAACAUGUUUAGUAUUUAUUGGGGCUGUGAAAUGAGUGCGUUAAUUUCGAUUAAUUAAUCACAGAAAGAAUUACGCAAAAAUUUACGCAGAUUAAUUGCGCUCUUAGAAUCAGCCUGGAAGAGGACGUGUGUGUACAUUGACGCCACACACUGUGAGGAAGAUGGUUCGACUGGCAAAAGAAUCUCCAAGGAUCACAGCUGAAGAAUUGCAGAGGCUAGUUGAGUCUUGGGGUCAGAAAGUGUCCAUGUUGAGCCUGUUUCAGUCAGUGAGAGAAAUGACACUUUUGGGGUUUUUUAUAAUCAGAACUCAGUUUUCACAUUGAACAGGUUAUUAAAUGAUAUGUAUGUUGUUUAUGUGCA